CCACCCUCUCCAUCGAGCAUAUAUAGGAUGUACCAGUUUUAUCGGUAUCAUUGAUCUCCAACUCAAUGUUCCAACGAUUGAGAAUAUUUUAGACACCAACAAAGUUGGCCAGGCCAGCAUACGAAUCUAAUUCGAAAAUCAUCUUUUUUACUUACCUAAAUACCAGUUGAUCAAAUGAAUUCGACAUUUGAUUUGCAAGUAAAUCCCG
rnacentral:lncRNA from 1 species